UCUAGAAUUUCAUUUGAAUGCUGGAUUUGGCCCAAUUAUCUUGUUUGGGAGUACAUGGAAUUUGAAAUUGUAUUUGGGCCAAAUCCAAGGCUUAGAUUAAGAAUUUGAAAUCCAAAGUUAAAUGUGGUAAUUUGAAAUACAAUUGUUUUUCUCUCUCCUACUCAUAGAUAUCUUUCAUCUUCUUCCUCUCUUCACUUUUUCUCUCCUCGGCUUACAUUGAUAAACAACCUGAAGCUCGAUCGACUAUCUCAACCUCCAUCAAUUCUCUCUCCUCCUCUCAACCUCCAUCAAUUCUCUCUCCUUCACCACAUCUCUCCACCAUCACCCUCGUUCUCGCAACUUCUUUGUAGCCUUGUUAUCGUCGACGCCAAAAAUUUAGUUAAAAAAGUUGAUUAUUUGAAGAGAAGUGGUUAUCGGCGAUGGUGUAGCCGCCGGAAAAUAAAAAUGUCGUCGAGAAUGUCACUAGCGGGGGAAGCGGGGGAAAUUGUUAGUGGUCAAUUCCAACACCAUUUUUUACUAAGACGUAUCAAGUUGUUGAAGAUCCUUCCAGUGAUGGCGUAGUUUCAUGGAAUGAAGAUGGAUCUAGCUUCAUCAUUUGGAAUUCUUACGGUUUUUGCAUGCGAUUUACUUUGUCGCUAGCUAUUUCAAGCAGAACAAUUUCUCCUCCUUCGUUCGUCACCUCAACACCUAUAUAUCCGGCAACCCGUCCGUUCCGUUCUCCUCAAGAUGAUCGUAUCGCCGUGACAAGGGGAGAAUUUUUUAUUUAAGGACUAGUUGAUUGGGCACGGAGCAGGGGGGAUAAGCGCAAUUCUUUGAAUCAAACGUUGAAUGAAAUCGAUUGAUGUGAUAACAAUGAAACUCCAAGAGUUAGGGUUUGGGUUUUCCACAAAUAGGAACUUGUUAACAAGCUGAUUGAUUUUUGUAGGCUAUUAUUGAUUUAUUUGUAUAAUUCCAUGAGUAAGCUUUGUUUAAUUGUUGUACAUAUUUAUUCGAUUUCAAGAAUCAAUUGAACACCAUUAUUUACCUUGAUUGUUCAUCUGA